ACGAACGCUGGCGGCGUGCCUAAUACCUGCAAGUAGAACGCUGAAGGAGGAGCUUGCUCUUCUGGAUGAGUUGCGAACGGGUGAGUAACGCGUAGGUAACCUGCCUGGUAGCGGGGGAUAACUAUUGGAAACGAUAGCUAAUACCGCAUAACAGUAGAUGUUGCAUGACAUCUACUUAAAAGGUGCAAUUGCAUCACUACCAGAUGGACCUGCGUUGUAUUAGCUAGUUGGUGGGGUAACGGCUCACCAAGGCGACGAUACAUAGCCGACCUGAGAGGGUGAUCGGCCACACUGGGACUGAGACACGGCCCAGACUCCUACGGGAGGCAGCAGUAGGGAAUCUUCGGCAAUGGACGGAAGUCUGACCGAGCAACGCCGCGUGAGUGAAGAAGGGUUUCGGAUCGUAAAGCUCUGUUGUAAGAGAAGAACGAGUGUGAGAGUGGAAAGUUCACACUGUGACGGUAUCUUACCAGAAAGGGACGGCUAACUACGUG
rnacentral:rRNA from 1 species